GGGACUCAGAGGAUAUGUCUUGCAGAAUCAGAGAAAGCCCAAGAGGGAAAUUCUUUCUUCUGCCUGACCCUGAUCUUAGCAGGCAUCGAAAAUCACCUGUCUCUGCAGGGUCCUUGGAAGACACACUCCUGCUCUCAAACAUUGCUGCAGAGCCUGCCUGGAAGCUCAGGCAAUGAAGGCUCCUCAAAGAUUCAGGCACUCCUGAAGGGGUUGAUCAGGUUAAACCAGAACAGUUGGAAGAAGAGUGUCCACAAAGAGAAGGAUCAGGAACAGACCUCAAAUUCACACUCUCUCUUAAUCAGAAUGAAUU